ensembl:lncRNA
UAGAGACAGAGAAUGAUCAACAGCUAGGUUACUGUAGAGACAGAGAAUGAUCAACAGCUAGGUUACCGUAGAGACAGAGAAUGAUCAACAGCUAGGUUACCGUAGAGACAGAGAAUGAUCAACAGCUAGGUUACUGUAUGGAACGUGUUGAUGUGUUAUUGAUGUGUUUUCACAGUGGUUGUUGGGGUCCCUGGGACGUUACACAACAACAUCAUCAUACGCCAGUAACACAUUGUCAGUGACACUAACAAAACAAAACAGGCAGAAUACUGUAAUGAGAACUAGAAGAUUCCCUGUACCUCUCCCUCUUCCUCUGAAGUACUGCCUCCUCUGAAGAGGGCUGUGAUCUAAACUGGGUACUGCAUAUAUAAUGACUGAUUUGUAAUCCAACAUGUUCCUAGAGCAGGAAGUGACAGCACAAUGGAAUAACACUGGCAGCAGCCUGUAGUCUGUCUCACCACCCCCACAUCUCUCUCUCCACCUCUCUCU